rnacentral:rRNA from 1 species
CCGAAUUCGUCGACACAGAGUUUGAUCCUGGCUCAGAACGAACGUUGGCGGCGUGGAUUAGGCAUGCAAGUCGAACGAAUCCCGGUCGGGUAACUGACCGGGGGAAGUGGCGAAAGGGGCAGUAAGGCAUGGGUAACUUGCCCCGGAGUCUGGAAUAGCCACCCUAACGGGUGGGUAAUACUGGAUGCCGUGUGGUGGGGGCCUCCCCGUUACACGAAAGCUCCGGCGCUCCGGGAGGGGCCCAUGUAGUAUUAGCUAGUUGGUGGGGUAACGGCCCACCAAGGCGAAGAUGCUUAGCAGGUGUGAGAGCACGACCUGCGCCACUGGCACUGGGACACUGGCCAGACUCCUACGGGAGGCUGCAGUCGAGGAUCUUCGGCAAUGGGCGCAAGCCUGACCGAGCGACGCCGCGUGUGCGAUGAAGGCCUUCGGGUUGUAAAGCACUGUCGGGGGGGAGAAAAGGGCAACCUUGAUCGACCCCCGGAGGAAGCACGGGCUAAGUUCGUGCCAGCAGCCGCGGUAAGACGAACCGUGCGAACGUUGUUCGGAAUCACUGGGCUUAAAGGGCGCGUAGGCGGGCGGGCAAGUCAGAGGUGAAAGCCCACAGCUCAACUGUGGAAGUGCCUUCGAUACUGCCGGUCUAGAGGGAGGUAGGGGCGUGCGGAACUUCCGGUGGAGCGGUGAAAUGCGUAGAUAUCGGAAGGAACACCGGUGGCGAAAGCGGCGCGCUGGAUCUCUACUGACGCUGAGGCGCGAAAGCUAGGGGAGCAAACGGGAUUAGAUACCCCGGUAGUCCUAGCCCUAAACGUUGGGUACUAGGUAGUAGACUUACAUGGGUUUACUGCCGAAGCAAAAGUUUUAAGUACCCCGCCUGGGGGAGUAUGGUCGCAAGGCUGAAACUCAAAGGAAUUGACGGGGGGUCACACAAGCGGUGGAGCAUGUGGCUUUAUUUCAAGCUACGCGAAGAACCUUUAUCUUGGACUUGACUUGUGGGGAAAGCGUCAGGGAAUUACCCCGCGGAAACGUGGGGGCCAACCGGUACCCAAUUCGGAAA